UACGAAGGGGGCUAGCGUUGUUCGGAUUUACUGGGCGUAAAGCGCACGUAGGCGGAUUGUUAAGUCAGAGGUGAAAUCCUGGAGCUCAACUCCAGAACUGCCUUUGAUACUGGCAAUCUCGAGUCCGAGAGAGGUGAGUGGAACUCCUAGUGUAGAGGUGGAAUUCGUAGAUAUUAGGAAGAACACCAGUGGCGAAGGCGGCUCACUGGCUCGGUACUGACGCUGAGGUGCGAAAGCGUGGGGAGCAAACAGG
rnacentral:misc_RNA from 1 species